GUGCUCGCUUCAGCAGCACAUAUACUAAAACUGGAACGAUACAGAGAUUAGCACGGCCCCUGCGCAAGGAUGACCACGCAAAUUCAUGAAGCAUUCCAUAUUUUU
ensembl:snRNA U6 U6 spliceosomal RNA